rnacentral:misc_RNA from 1 species
AAGUCGGAACAAGAACCUGCGGAAGGAUCAUUAACACGUAUCCAAACGUUUAAAAAAAAAAGAAAACCCCCCUGUGAACAUUUCAUAGCUGCAAUCGAGAGAUCGUGGCAUAACCAAGCCUGCUCCGUAAAGUCCCCUGCGUACGUGAAAGUGGUAUUGGGGUGUAUGUACUGGAGAAACCCUUCUGGAUGAUGGACGGCCACCACGGCCGGUCGCUGCUGCUUGUGGGCGUUCGUGCCCCCCAGGAUUACCCCGCUACCAGUCGAAACGACCAACCUGCGCAACCAUUACGUGUUGAGCCCGUGGGCGUCGUAAACCGAAAUACUUGAACAACUGUUAACAAUGGAUAUCUUGGUUCUC